ensembl:lncRNA
GGGUUUGUUUUGGAGGUAACGUGAUGAAGUUUAUUUGGUCCAAUGGGACAUCUGGACCGUUGGACCGUCCUUUGGUUUCACACUGGACAUGAAAGUGUUGCUGUAAGUCUUUGUUUCUUUAACACGUUCACGCCUUAUUAACCACCCGACCUGGUUGAGUUAACCGACCUGUUAAGGUCCAUUUACCGAUCCAAUGAAUGACGUAAAGGAAGAGCGACGGACUUCAGACCGGUUUGUUUCAGCAGUCCAACGUGCACGCUCCUCAUCUUUGGGCUCGAGGUGGACCUCACAUAUGAAGACGGUUUCACAAGACCUCAAGUUGCAGAUAAAAGUGAACGUCUUCAUGUGUCCCCGUCUUCUUUAACUUGUUUCCUUUAGUUUCUAACGUUCUCUUUUCUCAAGAAAAUAUGUAAACGUCGGUGAAUGAAAAGAUAUCAAAGGCAGAACGACUUUCUGGAGUAAGAUGUAACUACUUCUACUACUACUACUAUUACUACUACUAAUAGUACUACUACUAGGGAGGUUUUAGCUUUAAGACAGAUACAUUUCUGCGUGUUCUUAUGAAGAAAGUAAAAUGUUCUCUGUAAAUACUUAGUUACUUUAGUUUGCUUUGGGUUUUUCACUAAAUGGGUUGAUUAUGAAGAUGAAAGUGAAGAAUGUGACCUCGGUCACUUUAUUACUCGCAGGUUGAUGUGCUCCUCUGAUUCCUCUCCAGGCAGAUUGAUAAUAUCAGCGGAUGUAAAUAUGAACACAAGCUUUGGAAACGUUUUUAUUUCUCUUAUUGUCUCUAUGAUUUAAGAUGCACAUAAUUACCAUUAUUCUAACAGUGCUGAAUAAGCACGUUUACGUUCAGGACUAUUCUGUGAACCCGUUUUGUUUCUAAUGAGACAAAGUGUGAUUAUUUCAAAUGUUAACAUGGAUUUCUUUUCUCUCCUGUUUGGUUUUUUGUCCCACGUGGAUUAUAUUCCAAUAACACCGUGUUCUGUUAACGAGGAAAAGCCAAUAAAAGCUCAGUUGUGUACCUUUGUUUGUUCCG